rnacentral:rRNA from 1 species
AAUAGAUACCCCGGUAGUCCACGCCGUAAACGAUGAGUGCUAAGUGUUAGGGGUUUCCGCCCCUUAGUGCUGCAGCUAACGCAUUAAGCACUCCGCCUGGGGAGUACGGUCGCAAGACUGAAACUCAAAGGAAUUGACGGGGGCCCGCACAAGCGGUGGAGCAUGUGGUUUAAUUCGAAGCAACGCGAAGAACCUUACCAGGUCUUGACAUCCCACUGACCGCUAUGGAGACAUAGUUUUCCCUUCGGGGACAGUGGUGACAGGUGGUGCAUGGUUGUCGUCAGCUCGUGUCGCGAGAUGUUGGGUUAAGUCCCGCAACGAGCGCAACCCUUGAUCUUAGUUGCCAUCAUUUAGUUGGGCACUCUAAGGUGACUGCCGGUGACAAACCGGAGGAAGGUGGGGAUGACGUCAAAUCAUCAUGCCCCUUAUGACCUGGGCUACACACGUGCUACAAUGGACGGUACAAACGGUUGCCAACCCGCGAGGGGGAGCUAAUCCGAUAAAAUCGUUCUCAGUUCGGAUUGUAGGCUGCAACUCGCCUAC